UGUAUGGUUGUGUUGUCGUCUUGCUGUCUACCAUUGCUUUGCGAGUUCUCGUAUCCUUUUGUCAUCUGCUUUUUGCCUUCACCUUCCCUUUUGCUCGUAGAAGUGAAAAGUUGCAUAUGUUCUGGUUGGGGACUGUUCAGAUAGGGCUUGAGUAUUCAGGAAUUGAAUAAGUGUUGAACUUUGAAUUGGAGUUAGUAGCUAGAACAUAUACUCCUUGGACUCUCUCAUCGGGUAUGUAACCAUGUUAUGCAUACUUUUGUAGAAAUUAUUAAUGAACACAACGAGUAAUACCAUGGAAAGGAGUAUGAUCAAUUGGAAGGGGUUAGAAAUGCUCACUUAUGGGGUUUGUAUACAAAAACAGAAGUUAGCACUAUUUUAAACAUGAGUUAAUAGCUAGGUAAUAAAAAAGCAGAGUUAGGAGCUGAGAUACAGUAUAAGGUGAAGGGAAGGGGAAGUAUGUAGAAAACUACUUUGAAAAAAUAUGUUGCAACUUAGGGGAAAUGAGUUUUGGUUGAAAGAGGCAAUGGCUAGUCCUUUGUUGGUUACAUCUUCUUGUUAGUUGAAUUUUAAAAAAUUGACUGG
rnacentral:lncRNA from 1 species